rnacentral:rRNA from 1 species
GACGAACGCUGGCGGCAUGCCUAACACAUGCAAGUCGAACGAGACCUUCGGGUCUAGUGGCGCACGGGUGCGUAACGCGUGGGAAUCUGCCCCUGGGUCUGGAAUAACAGUUAGAAAUGACUGCUAAUACCGGAUGAUGACUUCGGUCCAAAGAUUUAUCGCCCAGGGAUGAGCCCGCGUCGGAUUAGCUAGUUGGUGAGGUAAAAGCUCACCAAGGCGACGAGCCAUGGCUGGUCUGAGAGGAUGAUCAGCCACACUGGGACUGAGACACGGCCCAGACUCCUACGGGAGGCAGCAGUGGGGAAUCUUGCGCAAUGGGCGAAAGCCUGACGCAGCCAUGCCGCGUGAAUGAUGAAGGUCUUAGGAUUGUAAAAUUCUCUCACCGGGGAAGAUAAUGACAGUAUCGGGAGAAUAAGCCCCGGCUAACUCCGUGCCAGCCGCCGCCGUAACAC